rnacentral:rRNA from 1 species
UACGUAGGGGGCGAGCGUUGUCCGGAAUCAUUGGGCGUAAAGAGCGUGUAGGCGGCUUGGUAAGUCUUACGUGAAAGCCUGCGGCUCAACCGCAGAAGUGCGUAGGAAACUUCCUCGCUAGAGUCCGGAAGAGGAGAGCGGAAUUCCUGGUGUAGCGGUGGAAUGCGCAGAUAUCAGGAGGAACACCCGUGGCGAAGGCGGCUCUCUGGGACGGUACUGACGCUGAGACGCGAAAGCGUGGGGAGCGAACAGG